CGGACGGGUGAGUAAUGUCUGGGAAACUGCCUGAUGGAGGGGGAUAACUACUGGAAACGGUAGCUAAUACCGCAUAAUGUCGCAAGACCAAAGUGGGGGACCUUCGGGCCUCUUGCCAUCGGAUGUGCCCAGAUGGGAUUAGCUAGUAGGUGGGGUAACGGCUCACCUAGGCGACGGUCCCUAGCUGGUCUGAGAGGAUGACCAGCCACACUGGAACUGAGACACGGUCCAG
rnacentral:rRNA from 1 species